CCACUUUAAUUUUAUCUUCUUCUUCCUAUAAAUAUAAUUGAUCAGUUUGUCAAACCAUAAAAGUUACUGGCUUUUCUAAGAAUCCCAGCACUUCUUUCUUUUUUGGGGCAAAAUACCGGCCGUACCGACUCCCACGGAAAAUGAUAAUGAGGGGUAGAUGCCGUUGAGUCAAGGAAUGGUUUCACAAAUAUAUUUUCUUCUCCCCAAAAGCCUUCUUCAUUUUAGGUUUAGUUUUGAGCCAUAGCUUCGCUGAAUAUGCAGCGGUGUCCACCUUGAUAGUUUAUCUCACA